rnacentral:rRNA from 1 species
UGUAAGGGCACGAAAAGUCUUGACGGAGCAACGCCGCGUGAGUGAGAAGGUUUUCGGAUCGUAAAGCUCUGUUGUUAGGGAAGAACAAGUACCGUUCGAAUAGGGCGGUACCUUGACGGUACCUAACUAGAAAGCCACGGCUAACUACGUGCCAGCAGCCGCGGUAAUACGUAGGUGGCAAGCGUUGUCCGGAAUUAUUGGGCGUAAAGGGCUCGCAGGCGGUUUCUUAAGUCUGAUGUGAAAGCCCCCGGCUCAACCGGGGAGGGUCAUUGGAAACUGGGGAACUUGAGUGCAGAAGAGGAGAGUGGAAUUCCACGUGUAGCGGCGAAAUGCGUAGAGAUGUGGAGGAUUAUCAGUGGC